CUUGGGUCUGGAGCACUGCUUGAUUUGGCCAGGGCCAGGCUGGGACAUCCCUCUACAGUAACUCCAGGGAUGUCAAGUAGGACUUUACUAGCCCUUGCCGAGCCAAUGGGGUCCCUUCACUGGAAUGAGAUUCUUCCCUACAGUGAGUCCUCAAGCCACCAGCCAGACUGAGACAGUCCUUGUCCAUGGGACAACCUCCAGCUCAUGUCUGUCCUGCCUCAGUGGCCCAUGAACCAAUGUUUGCCUGAAUCAGGUGCACAUCAGAAGCACUGCUUUAUUAGAAGUAAGCACCUAGAAUUUCCUUUCUUGUUUGGGGGUUUUUUAAUUACUAAGGGUUGGACCCGGGGCCUUUACACUGAGCUGUAUCUCUGGACCUUUUUUAAUUACUUAUUUUGAGACAGGAUCUCACUAAGUCACUAAAUUGCUCAAGCUAGACUCCAACUUCCCAUCUUCCUGACUCAGCCUUCUAGAAUGCUGGGAUUACAGGCGUGUACUACCAUGCCCAGCUGAAUUCCCUCAAAAAAUUUUUUUCACCCAGGUUUGACAAUUCUUGGUGCCUUGGAGGGGCCUCUCUUGGUGUCAGCCCCGCGGAGCCAGCUCCCCUCCAGUGGCAGCCCACUCCCCACCCGCGCCUUUCCCAUGCUGUCUCCCUG
rnacentral:lncRNA from 1 species